CAGCAGCCGCGGUAAUACGGAGGGGGCUAGCGUUGUUCGGAAUUACUGGGCGUAAAGCGCACGUAGGCGGCUUGGUAAGUUAGAGGUGAAAGCCUGGAGCUCAACUCCAGAAUUGCCUUUAAGACUGCCGAGCUAGCAGGUGAGAGAGGUAAGUGGAAUUCCGAGUGUAGAGGUGAAAUUCGUAGAUAUUCGGAAGAACACCAGUGGCGAAGGCGGUUUACUGGCUCAUACUGGACGCUGAGGUGCGAAAGCGUGGGGAGCAAACAGGAUUAGAUACCCCAGUAGUCCCUGUCUCUUAUAC
rnacentral:rRNA from 1 species